UACGUGUUCUGUGCUAUCGCCUACUACGA
rnacentral:sRNA from 1 species